AGGUGAUCUAUGAAAUGAGCAAGGGUUUCGAAAAUGAGCAGAAAGAGGCGAUUACCAAACUUAAAAUCGAGCAUCUGCGCACACAGUGUGCAAAGUUAACUGAUAAUGACAUAUCACAUUUUCAGAAGCAUCUCCAAGUCCUACAGCCUGGGUCAUCUCUAUCACCAACACAUACAACCUGGGUAGCAGUAUUCUAAUGGACUACCUUCUUCAGAGUGCAGACGAG